UUCCAGACUCCUACGGGAGGCAGCAGUGGGGAAUAUUGCACAAUGGGGGAAACCCUGAUGCAGCAACGCCGCGUGAGUGAAGAAGUAUUUCGGUAUGUAAAGCUCUAUCAGCAGGGAAGAAAAUGACGGUACCUGAGUAAGAAGCCCCGGCUAACUACGUGCCAGCAGCCGCGGUAAUACGUAGGGGGCAAGCGUUAUCCGGAUUUACUGGGUGUAAGGGGAGCGUAGACGGCGAUACAAGUCUGAAGUGAAAGCCCGGGGCUCAACCCCGGGACUGCUUUGGAAACUGUGUUGCUGGAGUGCUGGAGAGGCAAGCGGAAUUCCUAGUGUAGCGGUGAAAUGCGUAGAUAUUAGGAGGAACACCAGUGGCGAAGGCGGCCUACUGGACGGUGACUGACGCUGAGGCUCGAAAGCGUGGGGAGCAAACAGGAUUAGAUACCCCCGUA
rnacentral:rRNA from 1 species